GAGGGUAUAGCUCAGCAGUAGAGUGCAUGAUUUGCCUGCACAAAGUCCUGGGUUCAAUUCCCAGAACCUCCA
rnacentral:tRNA from 1 species